ACUGCUCAGUAACACGUAGUCAACCUGCCCUGGAGACGCGGACAAACCCGGGAAACUGGGGCCUAUCCGCGAUAGAUGACCUCAUCUGGAAGGAGAGGCCGUCGAAAAGGGCGCACGGGUAUGCUCUGUGCGAACCGCUCCAGGAUGGGACUGCGGCCGAUCAGGCUGUUGGCGGGGUAAUGGCCCACCAAACCUGUAACCGGUACGGGCUUUGAGAGAAGGAGCCCGGAGAUGGACACUGAGACAAGGGUCCAGGCCCUACGGGGCGCAUCAGGCGCGAAACCUUCGCAAUGCGCGAAAGCGUGACGAGGCUAGUCCGAGUGCUUCCUGCUAAAGGGAGCUUUUCUCGGCUGUAAAUAGGCCGGGGAAUAAGGGGAGGGCAAGUCUGGUGUCAGCCGCCGCGGUAAUACCAGCUCCUCGAGUGGUCGGGACGAUUAUUGGGCCUAAAGCACCCGUAGCCGGUUCCGUAAGUCCUCUGUUAAAUCCAGUCGCUCAACGGCUGGUCUGCAGAGGAUACUGCGGGACUAGGAGGCGGGAGAGGCGGACGGUACUCCGCGUGUAGGGGUAAAAUCCUUUGAUCCGCGGAAGACCACCAGUGGCGAAGGCGGUCUGCCAGAACGCGCUCGACGGUGAGGGGUGAAAGCUGGGGGAGCGAACCGGAUUAGAUACCCGGGUAGUCCCAGCCGUAAACGAUGCGAGCUAGAUGAUUCGAUCGCAGUUCGCGAUCGAAGUGUCGCAGGGAAGCCGUUAAGCUCGCCGCCUGGGGAGUACGGUCGCAAGGCUGAAUCGUAAGAAGUUUUUCUUCUUGCGCAGUUCACUUAAAGGAAUUGGCGGGGGAGCAC
rnacentral:rRNA from 1 species